GUACUCUUUUCCCUAUUGCAUAUACAGUCUUCCCUUUUCAGCACCUAACUUCAACUCUGCACCCAGAAGACCCUGGCCAACCUUUAGGGUCUCGAUUAAUCCUGCAUAUGUGGUUGAGGCCUACAAGAAGCUCUGUAAUUGCCGCCUCAGUUUUUGCUUGAUUUGCAUAAUGGAGUGUUUGUACCAGAAGCACAUUUGUCCUUGAAGCCUCUUGCUCCCUCUCAAAAUUUCGCUCAGAGUGCCAUCUUAUCAUGUUAUGAGCCAGUGGAGACAACCAUUCAAGUAUUUUCGUGAGCACCAGGCUCCAAUUUGCUGCAAGGGAAGCAUCAAAUGCAGAUGGAGAUAGAGAUUUGUCAGCAGCCUUGAGCCUAGUUCUCAGAGCAGCUCGUAUACUUGUGGGUAACAUAUUGUAUAGGUCAUCUCUUGUUUCAAAGUCAAUCAUGUGAGGUGAUGAAGCUAGCCUCUCAACCAAUACAAUCAAAUUUGC
rnacentral:misc_RNA from 1 species